CAAUACCAUAGUGGCGCACGGGUGCGUAACGCGUNACCAACCUACCCAUCACUGGGGGAUAGCCCGCCGAAAGGCGGAUUAAUACCGCAUAACAUCAGGUGGCGGCAUCGUCUCUUGAUUAAAGAUUUAUUGGUGGUGGAUGGGGUUGCGUGCCAUUAGCUAGUUGGGGGGGUAACGGCCCACCAAGGCGACGAUGGCUAGGGGAGCUGAGAGGCUGGUCCCCCACACGGGCACUGAGAUACGGGCCCGACUCCUACGGGAGGCAGCAGUAGGGAAUAUUGGGCAAUGGCCGAGAGGCUGACCCAGCCAUGCCGCGUGCAGGACGAAGGCUUUCUGAGUCGUAAACUGCUUUUGCCAGGGAAGAAUAAGGGGGAUGCGUCCUCCGACGACGGUACCUGGUGAAUAAGCACCGGCUAACUCCGUGCCAGCAGCCGCGGUAAUACGGAGGGUGCAAGCGUUGUCCGGAUUUAUUGGGUUUAAAGGGUGCGUAGGCGGCUUUUUAAGUCUGGGGUGAAAGCCCGUUGCUCAACAACGGUACUGCCCUGGAAACUGGAGAGCUUGAGUACAGACGAGGGCGGCGGAAUGGACGGUGUAGCGGUGAAAUGCAUAGAUACCGUCCAGAACCCCGAUUGCGAAGGCAGCUGCCUAGACUGUAACUGACGCUGAGGCACGAAAGCGUGGGGAGCGAACAGGAUUAGAUACCCUGGUAGUCCACGCCGUAAACGAUGGAUACUCGCUGCCGGCGCUACACUGUCGGUGGCUUAGCGAAAGCGUUAAGUAUCCCACCUGGGGAGUACGCCCGCAAGGGUGAAACUCAAAAGAAUUGACGGGGGCCCGCACAAGUGGUGGAGCAUGUGGUUUAAUUCGAUGAUACGCGAGGAACCUUACCUAGGCUAGAAUGCGCGUGACCGGUUCANANA
rnacentral:rRNA from 1 species